rnacentral:rRNA from 1 species
UUAGCCGUGGCUUAUUCCUCAGGUACCGUCAUUAUCGUCCCUGAGAAAAGAGGUUUACAACCCGAAGGCCUUCAUCCCUCACGCGGCGUUGCUGCUUCAGGGUUUCCCCCAUUGAGCAAAAUUCCCG